UAUCCUUCUCUCCCUCAUUUCUUCUGUCUCUCUCUAAGUCUCUCAUGACAAGCAUUUUAAGGCCUUAAGCCGAUGCUUGCUUACAAUCGGUCUCACCAUCUCAUUUAUUUAAUAUCUUUUUUUUUAUCAGUGUAACGGAUGGCUGAUGCGAUGCAGCCUAAAAGUUGCUCUUGUCUGGCCCUGAGUGCCCGAUAGCUCGAAAAGUCACUUCACUUCGCGUUUACCAUCUCAGCUACGACUAUGUGUCAAUUCUUAAGCUCUCGCAAGUCACUCCAGUAUAUUUUUACCAAGUGCAGAUCUUUUCCAUCUUUUGUAAUCCGGUUUCGUGCUUAAAGUGUUCUUAUUAUAUUAUUCGACAAUCCAAGUAGCCGGCGCACGCGACAGAAUGAUACCUCACAUGACACUAUGGGGACAUUUUAAAAUACGGAAAUCCCAUAGGGCUUAUUAUAGCCGCCAAUUUGAAUUUUAUGAAUUUUGGGGGGUAAAUCGGGGUCGGACCGUGGUAAACUUUUUGUAUGUUGUUCAGGAAGACCUACUGAUGACGUUCAAAUAGGAAAAAAUUGUUAUGCAAUUUUUCAAACACAUCGUGUUUCUGCCUGACUACAUGCUUUUUGACCUCUCUCGUGAUGUUUUCACACAUUGUCUGUGAACUAACAAGAGUGAAGAGGACGAUGACGGUAAAUAAAUUUUAAAGAAGGGAAAAAGUGAACACUAAUUUUAUUCCUGAACAUAAAGACAUUAAUACUUGUAGAAAAAAUAGAUUGCUUCCGCUGAUUGAUCAGGUGAAGGCCACCCUUGUUAAAGUCGUCUCUCUUAAGUCCAGAUGUUUGGAUCACCGCAAUUCUCUUUUCAUCUUCCUUCGAUCUCGUUAACUUUUUGUGAAUUCGUUUAUUAACGGCCCGAACGAGUGCGUUAAAUUUUGCAUCCUUGUCAUGGCGAUGGAACAGCUCUAACCACACCACCUGGCCGCGCCAAGUCGAGAAAUACGCUUGCAAAUGGCGGUCCUCCUCAGCCGCCAUGCGAACAAAUGGACUGAUAACAGGUAAACGGGGAAUCAACGGGGAACAGGUAGGUAGAAUGGAUAGUACACGGAAGAGAUCGAAAUACGUCACGCAAGCGUAAACAAAACAUGGCGCAGACACCGAAUGCCUAUCGCCAGGUCUUACAUCAGUAGAACAGGAAGAGCGGGAAAUUUGAAAUAUGUAGUGAUAGAAUGGGGAAAGUGACGACACGAGGGACCACUGGCCCUUUAAAUGGGGGACAGAAACCAUAAAAAAUGAGAGCGGAGAGGAGAGAAGGCUUCAUAUCAACGAGAGAGUGAGCUGAAGAGCGAAAACUGGAACAUGAAACAGAUGAACAUGAAAAAUCCUGAAUUUGGCUAGGAUACCUGUGCAUGGCAUGGUGAGUAUUGAAAAUAGAAGGCACGUCGGACAAUCCUUUUGCCACAGGAGGAGACAAGAAGGUCCCAGGCACAAUCCGCUACAGCACAUAAAUCCAAAUGAAGACCAGUUCUCUCCGCAAUUUGCAUGUUGAAUUCGUGAAAAGCUCUCCGAAUGAAAAAAAAGAAAGGGGAGGGGGACCUUUGACUGCGAGAAACUAUGCAAUCAAAUUACUUGUAGCUGACUCCGUAGAGGAGGGCUACGUUGGAUGACUUUCUUAUCAAGGGGAAAAUGAGGAAGGGACCGAAGGGGGAAAAAUCGGGGGGAGACCGAAGGGGGGAGGGGGCCCUGCUCCCAAACGCAACGCGAACCGGACAGAAGCUUACACGGGAGAUAAAAAAAAAAAAACACAACAAAACUUGAACUUCUACUACACUCCGGAUAAUACAAGACAAUAAAAAGAAGCAACCCUCCGAAGAGGAAAUCCAAACAAAAAAGAACAUGGGUGCGAUGAGUAGUCGGCGAUACCCCGUCUAGAGGCCCAUGACCUAGGAAGGUUUGACCCACAUUUACUUGACACUGGUGACCCAGUCAGCUGGGUCUGCGAUGCCGUUGCUGCAUCUCUGAAAACCUUCGUAUUGCACGUUAGGGCAAUCUCGCAAGGAAAAGAAAAAUAGGACACAGUCAUAGGCAGGGCCGCCGACGACUCAUCGGAAACAAUUAUGAGCAUAACUCCAUCAGUCAUAACGAUAAAGAAAAAGAAGUUGAGGUUGAUGCGAUUCUCAGAAAAACAUGACUGACUUCCGGAUAAAAUGUCGCAAAAGGCGACUCGACAGUACUGCGGAACAAACUAAGCUCGCAUCAACUCCGGGUAUUUGCUUGGCGGCAAUAUUGCCACAGACAGAAGCAAGACAAGUUACUGCGAGUACUACGAGCAGCAAUACGAGAUCGUAGGAAAAUCGGCUAUACACCACCCGACGGAUAAAUACGGGUCAAAAUUCAGCGGACAAUUUUUAGCGUUAAAUGAUUAAUAAUCAACACUCGACAUCCUCCUGCAAUUCGGUAAUACGGAUGGUGGUACGACAAGCUAACCGGUGCUCGAACUGCCUUGGACACCAUGAGAGACAAGGCUAGAAACACCAGGAUUCCAUGUAAACUCGGGACACAUUAAAUUAAAAAGACAAACAAUUCAGAGAUGAAGGCAACACGCUCUUGCACUAAGAGCUCUCGGGAGAAGGAGCGUGCACAUCGGCGCCUUCAAAGGCACGGGUAGGCAACAGGUUAUACAUCACACAGGUCAAAUUCAAGCGGAGUGGCACAACGAACACAUUAUCAAAGGUGUGUAAAGAGCACUGAAACGGGAAACUCAAAAAUUGCGCACGACAGCGCACGAUGCCAGGGCUCAUGCAAAGGUUGGCGGAGGCGAAGAAUGCACAGCCCGGGAGGGCGGAUACUCUAGACACCAUGGCGCACAUCAUUGAGACAACGAUUAACUUAAAUAAUUGAUUCUGAAUUGGGCUAAGAAAAUCACAUAAACGCUUGGAGAAACUAGACUUGGAGAAACUGGAGAAACGGGUCACAACAUAUCGAGAGAGAGUUUCGGGAUAGGUCGUUCGCCCGGGGAAACGCCUUCAAAAGCCUGGGUAGGCCACAAUUCGGGCGACCCAAGCGUACACAUCAACCGUAAUUUCUCUGAAAACUACUCUUCUAAGGGGAUUUAAAAGAAAGGAUACGUUGAAACAGAUGACGAGUGCUCAGAGACCCUUUCCAACUAACUAGACUUUGUAUUUCAAGUCAACUCCGGGAAAAUAUCGGGGGGCCAUUCUUAUAACGACUUACUUCCAAUCGGAUAAAAGACACAAGCACGGCUUAAGAGUAGAUGCACUUAUUCAUUACAAGAUAGGUCACACAUCGAGAUAACAUGAUUCACAGAAGCCGUACAGGCUUAAACUACCGCUCGACUUGGAGUGGCUCUGACAGGCCAAUCUUAAGCGUUAAAACAAGAAAAUUGGUGUGAAUGUGAAUCCGGGGGUAACAGCGUAAGGCAACUCUUGAAUCGAUAUAUGGCAACACAACUCUAGGUGAAUCUAAUCUACGUCACCGGGGUUUAAUGUCGGAGAUUCUCUCCGUUUUGCGUCAUCGCGGGUGACGAACAAAGAGUCGAUUGAUCGAACGGAGUACUGAACGGUUAGUAGAGAGUGACGUCACUGUUUUCAACGCUGCUCAACAAAAAGCGUCAAAUAAGAAAAGAUAAG